GCAUUCACUUCAACAACACAUAUACUAAAACUGUAAUAAAACAGAGAUUAGCAUGGCCCCUGUGCAAGGAUGACAUGCAAAUUAAUGAAGUGUUUCAUAUUGUU